UUUUUUUUUUUUUUGUAUUUUUAGUAGAGACAGGGUUUCACCGUAUCAGCCAGGAUGGUUUCGAUUUCCUGACCUCGUGAUCUGCCUGCCUCGGCCUUCCAAAGUGCUGGGAUUACAAGCAGAUGAAAUCCCACUAUUUUGCCCAGGCUCAUCUAUAACUUCUGAGCUCAAGACAUCCUCCUGCUUUGACCUUCCAAAGUGCUGGGAUAGGGGUUUUGUGCAAAUAUCUGCUGAGUGAACUACUUAUUUGAAAAUACAUCAUUGGUUAAUAUUCCCUUUUGCUCAUUGAAAUCUCAAAGACUACAGGUGUGGUGCAAUUCCAUUAGAUGAAAGAGAUCUACACAUUCAGAAGCACAUGAUUCUUCCCCCUUCCAUGAUUCCAGUGGCCAAUAGAAACUUUUGCCUGACCCAUGAUCACAUAGGUGCCUAAUAUCAAGUUGAGAGAAAUCUUACACUACAAAUUUGCUGAGAGUUUGCACCAUGAAUAAAUUCCAAAUAUUGUCAAAAGAAUGGAGUGUAGUGGCGUGAUCUUGGCUCACAACAACUUCUGCUUCCCACAUUCAAGCGAUCCUCCCACCUUAUACUCCUGAGUAGCUGGAACCACAGACAAACUACAAUAAAGCCAUGCCCUGACUGGAUGUGCCUAACAUUUGUCUGGUGCUUAAAGGAGUUGGCUGCAUGCGUGGAAAUGUUGGAAAGUCACCAAAAAUAGUUCUCCAAGUCAGAAGCGGUGCAAAAGCUGCCUCAGCUCUUGGUGGAUUUUCAAUUUCUCCCAGCCAUCUCUGUUUCGCUAAAGGUUUCUGAAGACAGUGGGUAUG
rnacentral:lncRNA from 10 species